UACGAAGGGGGCUAGCGUUGCUCGGAAUCACUGGGCGUAAAGCGCACGUAGGCGGAUCUUUAAGUCAGGGGUGAAAUCCUGGAGCUCAACUCCAGAACUGCCUUUGAUACUGAGGAUCUUGAGUCCGGGAGAGGUGAGUGGAACUCCGAGUGUAGAGGUGAAAUUCGUAGAUAUUCGGAAGAACACCAGUGGCGAAGGCGGCUCACUGGCCCGGUACUGACGCUGAGGUGCGAAAGCGUGGGGAG
rnacentral:rRNA from 1 species